rnacentral:rRNA from 1 species
UGGGGAAUUUUGGACAAUGGGCGAAAGCCUGAUCCAGCCAUGCCGCGUGAGUGAAGAAGGCCUUCGGGUUGUAAAGCUCUUUUAGUCGGAAAGAAAGAGUUGCAAUGAAUAAUUGUGAUUUAUGACGGUACCGACAGAAAGAGCACCGGCUAACUACGUGCCAGCAGCCGCGGUAAUACGUAGGGUGCGAGCGUUAAUCGGAAUUACUGGGCGUAAAGGGUGCGCAGGCGGUCUUGCAUGUCAGAUGUGAAAGCCCCGGGCUUAACCUGGGAAUUGCGUUUGAAACUACAAGGCUAGAGUGCAGCAGAGGGGAGUGGAAUUCCAUGUGUAGCAGUGAAAUGCGUAGAGAUGUGGAAGAACACCGAUGGCGAAGGCAGCUCCCUGGGUUGACACUGACGCUCAUGCACGAAAGCGUGGGGAGCAAACA